rnacentral:lncRNA from 1 species
CACACGCAUGCACAGAACACCCCGCGCUUCCCCGCCCCGAGAGGAACUCGGGAGCCGCGGGCACCCCCUGCCCCGCGCCGGCGGCGGGGGCGCGGUCGUUCUGCGCUGACACCCCCCCAAACCAUCGCCCUGCCCGUACAAAGGAAACUCCGGCCGCAUCCUGUGGCAUUAACCCCUAACUGAGCCGAUAGGUAUGGAAAUAAUCAACGGGGUGUGAAAGGAUUUUGUUCCGCGCCGAGUCUUCGGGUCUGAAAUUCAGUAGUGGGAAUGGGUUUAAGAACACCAAAGUGUGUGGUUUAAAUAGUCUUUGAGUGCACAUUUGCUAAAGGACCAGGGGACAAGAUCUAGAAAGAAUAGGUACUGCAAGAAAAAUGAGUGAAAUCAUGCUCCCACUAGCGUCAGUGGCAAAAGUCUCACUGUUCAGUGGCACUAGGUUGUCACCCUAGAAAGCUGUUUCAAACUUCACAUUUUCAAAUGAUAUGAAAUACGUUUACAGUCAGGCAGAAAGUAAUUGCCUUUUCUAGUCUGUAUUUUUUGCAGAUUUAUGCCAUAAGCCCUAUCCUGUUACAACAAAACCCACACAGAACAGUGCAACCCACGAGGAGACCUCUAUGUUGUAGAGUUUGUGUUUCUAUUUGAUCUGACAUGCUUCACGGAGAAAAUAAAUGCAAAUCCCACAUUGCACAAAGCUUAUCUGAAUAUUCAGUAAAACAUAUUUUCAAAUCAGGGCAAAAUAGACAAGUUAUUUCUUUGCAAGUUUUUCGGCUUAGUGAAUCAAGUUUUCGUGCCUUGAGACCACAGAGGGGGCAGGCAGGACAUCCAAGACUCUGCCACAAUCUCUUCUCAAUUCAUCCAGAGAGCAUCAAAUUCACGAGCAGACUGAGGCUGCCCCAGGAGGUAUUUUUUCAGCCUUCGGAAAAUGCCAGCUAUAAAAGAAAGCUGGGUUUACCAAGACGUCAACCAGCAGCCAGCACAGGACUCAGUGCCCAGGUCUCCCAAACAACGUUUCCUAAUAAGCAGCAGCUUAGAGCCUCUCUUCAGUGUCAAUUGACGUGGCUCAACUAUAUCAGCACAAAGGAUACCUUACCAGGAAUCACAUCCUUCUUUCAAAUAGAUGAACAAUCUGUUCUGUGUAAUAUGCGUACAUUUUUCAGCAAUACAAAUAUAAAAAGUGUUAAAAUAAUUACCUACCUGUAA